rnacentral:rRNA from 1 species
UACGGAGGGGGCUAGCGUUGUUCGGAAUUACUGGGCGUAAAGCGCACGUAGGCGGCUUUGUAAGUUAGAGGUGAAAGCCUGGAGCUCAACUCCAGAACUGCCUUUAAGACUGCAUCGCUUGAAUCCAGGAGAGGUGAGUGGAAUUCCGAGUGUAGAGGUGAAAUUCGUAGAUAUUCGGAAGAACACCAGUGGCGAAGGCGGCUCACUGGACUGGUAUUGACGCUGAGGUGCGAAAGCGUGGGGAGCAAACAGG